rnacentral:rRNA from 1 species
UAUGUGAUCGUCUCUCGCAUAUCAAUAAGCGGAGGAAAAGAAACUAACAAGGAUUCCCCUAGUAACGGCGAGUGAAGCGGGAAGAGCUCAAAUUUGAAAUCUUAAAGGGUUUCCCUUUACGAAUUGUAGUUUAAAGAAGUGUUUUCUGUUGAGGUUUUGGUAAAAGUUCUUUGGAAUAGGACAUCAUAGAGGGUGAGAAUCCCGUAUUUGACCUUUACUUUCAACUUUGUGAUACACUUUCAAAGAGUCGGAUUGUUUGGGAAUGCAGUCCAAAAUGGGUGGUAAAUUUCAUCUAAAGCUAAAUAUUGGCGAGAGACCGAUAGCGAACAAGUACCGUGAGGGAAAGAUGAAAAGAACUUUGAAAAGAGAGUUAAACAGUACGUGAAAUUGUCAAAAGGGAAGCGUUUGACACCAGUGUUGUUUUUCUGAAAAUCAAUUAAAGAACUGUUUAUGCUAAGUUGUUUAGACUUUAUCAGCUAACUGCUUAGUUUUGAGCUUUUCUUUAAUGCACUUUUCAGUUAACAAGUCAACAUCAAUUUCUUCUGCUGUAAAAAAGCUUGAGGAAGGUGGCUUGAGAUUCGUCUUAAGUGUUUAUAGCCUCUUGCCUAUGCAGUCGGAGAGAUUGAGGUCUGCAGCGUAGAUCCUUCGGGACUAAAUGCAUUUGUGCUAAGUUAUAGCAUUUUAUAGACAACUUGUUGACUAUGAUUUGUCUUGUAGCUUACUCGCUUAUGUUAUUUUACCUACGCUUAGGAUGUUGAUCUACAGAGCGAGAGU